rnacentral:sRNA from 1 species
UAAAGAAAGAUUUUUGGAGGUGGGAAA